GAUGAACGCUGGCGGCGUGCCUAAUACAUGCAAGUCGAGCGAACAGACGAGGAGCUUGCUCCUCUGACGUUAGCGGCGGACGGGUGAGUAACACGUGGAUAACCUACCUAUAAGACUGGGAUAACUUCGGGAAACCGGAGCUAAUACCGGAUAAAAUAUUGAACCGCAUGGUUCAAUAGUGAAAGACGGUUUUGCUGUCACUUAUAGAUGGAUCCGCGCCGCAUUAGCUAGUUGGUAAGGUAACGGCUUACCAAGGCAACGAUGCGUAGCCGACCUGAGAGGGUGAUCGGCCACACUGGAACUGAGACACGGUCCAGACUCCUACGGGAGGCAGCAGUAGGGAAUCUUCCGCAAUGGGCGAAAGCCUGACGGAGCAACGCCGCGUGAGUGAUGAAGGUCUUCGGAUCGUAAAACUCUGUUAUUAGGGAAGAACAAAUGUGUAAGUAACUAUGCACGUCUUGACGGUACCUAAUCAGAAAGCCACGGCUAACUACGCG
rnacentral:rRNA from 1 species